UACGUAGGGGGCGAGCGUUGUCCGGAUUUACUGGGCGUAAAGAGCGCGCAGGCGGUCGUUCAAGUCGGAUGUGAAAGCCCCCGGCUCAACUGGGGAGGGUCAUUCGAUACUGAUCGACUCGAAGGCAGGAGAGGGAAGCGGAAUUCCCGGUGUAGUGGUGAAAUGCGUAGAUAUCGGGAGGAACACCAGUGGCGAAGGCGACUACCUGGCCUGUUCUUGACGCUGAGGCGCGAAAGCUAGGGGAGCAAACGGG
rnacentral:rRNA from 1 species